UUGACAGGGUUUGGGUUUUACGAGCCUUUCUGGCUUAUCGACUUUGCCAAUGUUUGCAUUAUCAUUCAUUUGGUUGGAGGAUAUCAGGUAAAUAAUGUAAAUAAAUUACUAAUAUACUCCUCCCGGUCUCAUAUAUACGCAAAGAUUCUUCUUUAAGGUUCAUUGAAUAAUUGAUGGAUCUGGUCCGUAAUACGGACCAGAUAUAACAUGAAAAAUGAAUAUUUACUUAUAUAUGAGACCAGGAAUAUAGAACAAUUAUAUUCACUGUUUUCUUAUGUUACCUAUUAUUUAUACAUAUGCUUCAUUUGUAUGAUCUUCUCAACAGAUAUACAGUCAACCAAUAUAUAGUACUAUUGAUAGAUGGUGUUCAAAAAAAUUCCCCAAGAGUGGCUUUGUGAAUGAUUUUCGCAAAGUGAAACUUCCUCUAUUACCUGCUUUUAAGAUCAAUCUAUUCAGGUUUUGUUGUAGAACAAGCUAUGUGAUUUCAACAACAGGACUUGCAAUUUUAUUUCCUUACUUCAACCAAAUCUUAGGAGUAUUAGGAGGCAUAAAUUUCUGGCCAUUGGCGAUAUAUUUUCCAGUGGAAAUGUACUUUGUACAGAAGAAGAUUGAAGCUUGGAGUACACAAUGGAUUGUUCUCAGAUUAUUUAGCUUUGCUUGCUUUCUUGUCACAGUGAUGGGAUUUAUUGGGUCAUUUGAAGGAAUCAUACGUGCUAAACUUAGCUAAAAAAAGGUUUAUGCACAUUAUCACUUGCCAAUGGUUAUUUUAUUUUGGUUAUAGAGUGAUUCCUGUAAGUUUGUUUCAUAUCAUGUAAUAUUAGUGUUUUCCAGAUUUAGAAACGUAUUAAGCUAUGAAAUAAUUCGAGUUGCUUGAUGCAUCAUUAUCUUCAAAGAAAAAGUUCCACCAAAAGUUUUAAUUAUCAUUGUACUAGCUAUUUUUUGUUUGCUUAUAUUUACAUUUUAUAUAUUUUGGUAGUUAUAUUAAAAAAAAAGUGUAAAAUUUGGUAUGAUACAAAAGAUGCAAAGUGCAGAAGUAUUGAACAUGUACUUGUUACGUGGUUCGAUUCCUAGGCAAAAAAUCUACUAAAAAGGAGAUAGAGAAGAUCUUGAGGUACAAUGUCGGAAUUGCCUACUAAAUACGUAGAAAAUGGGCACGGGGCCUAACAAAUAAUAUAAGAAAUUCACAGCAAAAAGAUUAAAAAAACAAAAAGUACAAAGUGCAAAACAGCACGAACAAUCAAUCCCCUUUAAUGAUUUUGCGGGGUAUACACUUAGCUAGAUGGUGUUCUAAAUCUAAGUCUGAGAGUAUGUAUGCAUGUAUGUAGAAUGUCGUGAUCAUUUAGAGAUAAUAGGGGUCCUGUAUAUAAGCUAGGAUACAAUGGUCCCAGGCGAGACACCCUCUCCUGCAUCCUGGAGCCACUAACUCCAUUAUUCUAGGAGUUUUAGUUAUCCCACGUGAGCUAUAACUUCGGUCUUAUCUUCUCAGGGUUAGGGAUAUUUCGUUGAUACCCUAGGCGAGUAUCUUAACUUAGUCUUUUUGGGCCUCCUCUAAAGUGGCCCGUUUGGGCGUAUUGGGCUUAAUCNNNNNNNNNNNNNNNNNNNNNNNNNNNNNNNNNNNNNNNNNNNNNNNNNNNNNNNNNNNNNNNNNNNNNNNNNNNNNNNNNUUAAUCGAAUGGUACCCCGAUAUUUUGUUUGGUACACAUUCAAAUCGUAACUAAAGCCUUUUUGCUAGACUUCAACCACCACCGAGAUAUAGUUUUCACCUUAUCAAAAGGCACCUCGACCGGUACUUGCUUGUGAGCAAAAACUCCAUUAUUUUUUCUUUCCAAAUGAUCCAACAACUAGUCAACCACACAACUUGAAUACCCGAAUGAACUUCUUUGCCAAACACAAAAGAAUUACAAAAUUGCAAAGCAUGAUUCAACAAUAAUUUAGUUUAUAUAAAAUUUACGGUAUUCCAAAAUUUUCUUCCUAAUGGCUUGCUUAUGUUCAACAACACUGAUAAUGAGUUGAUUAUUUUUUAUUUCAGAACCUGAAAUUGCGCAUAGGACAAUUGUAUAAUAUGUAAGUAAUUUUGAGUAUGGUAUAACUUUUUGAAUUAAAGUUUGCACCCCAGAACCAAGGUCCUGGCUCUGCCACUGGUUUAAUAGCCUCCAAGCAAAGGUCGACAUCUUCAACGGGACAACCUUAUUCCAUAAAACCUCUUUAUCCUCGUACAUCAUAGAAGGGACAACAUGAGAUAAUAAUUGAUAAGUGCAUCUCACUGAAUAUUCAAAGUCAGGGUCAGGUAGUCAAAUUCACUUAUCUUGGACGUUGACCUGCAAAAAAUACAUGUUGCAAAAUAGCACCACGCUCCCUAAUCAACUCCUCCAUUCAAGCAAAAAGACGCCUACGCCAUCUCUAACCCUAAUCCUCCACAUUUUAAUGAAGAAUUUUUUUAUAAAAGUUUCAAAUGAAAAAUUGAUUUUGAUUUUUUAUUUUUUUGACAAUCAAUGAAAAAUUGAUUUAAAUAGCUUAUCUUGUAAUGUCGCUUUAAAUAUUUCAUCAUUUAAGUCAUUAGAUUUGGUUUAGUGAUGAGAGAUUUGGGUAGUAUGCAUGAGGUCUUGGGUUCGAUCCUCAUUGACGUUGUAAACCAAAAAAAAAUCAUCAUUUUGUAAAAAUAAAAAAAAGAUUUUUGUGAAAAGUUGUUAAAAAAGAAUCUAUUUUAACAACUUUUCACAAAAAUCAUUUUUGAGAGAUUUUUUUUUAAAAAAAUGUACCUUUUAUUUUUAUUAAGCUAAAAUUUAUUAGAUAAAUAUUUAAGUUAUUGAAUGUCAAAAUCAUUAUUUUAAUUUAUAAAAAAAUGAAUUUUAAAUAACUUUUAUGAUUUUUAAUAAAAUUAUCAUAAAAAAUCAUUCUUUAAUUUUUAAAAAAUUUAAAGCUAUUUUUCAUUUGUUUACUAUCAUAAAAAUGUGAGGCAUAAUGCCCAUUCAAACUAGGGGUGAUCGUAUCCGAAUCAAUUCAAAAGUAAAACCGCUAACCGAACCAAUAAAAAUCAAAACUGCAUUUAAUGUGAACCGCACGGAUCAUUUUUCUUCUAAAUCGCGUGGUCUGGUUUGCAGUUUUCAUUUCAGAAAACCAAACCGUAAUACUUAACUUAACUCUAUCAACUAGUAGCAAUCAACCUAUUACGUAGUCCAACUUAGGAAGUCCAACCUAAAUUGAGUCCAUAAAACAGUAGGCUGUCAAAACAUAUCAUUUCACGCGAUCCAGAACUAUAUUGUUGGUAUUAAAAAUAAAUUCUGAUGUAUAUGCAAUUUUGUAUAUGCAUAAUCAUGUAAACAAUAAAAUAAAUUAAAAUUUACUAAACCGCACAAAUCGAACCAUCCCUAACCGCAUUGGUUUGGUUUGGAUGAAUUUUUAAAAACCAACCGAAUUAAACCGAACCGCAUAUAUUUUUAUCUCGCUGUUAGGAAACCGAACCAAACCGCACCGCACUACGACACCCCUAAUUCAAACCUAGGUCCAAAAUGGACUGAAGUUGUUGUGAGAGAUUGCCUAAUAGGAGGGAAUCUAUUGAUCAUGGCAUAAUGAGGUGUGAAUGUGUGAUGCGCCUGAGAAGUGUCCAGUUGAGAAAGAGAUGAUAUAUAGUACCUAGAAAUAUUGGUUAAAUCUUCCCAGACUUUUUUUCUCUCUUACUAUAUUCUGUAUUUGCUACUUGUAAUUUACAGGCUGUGGUUUUCCACCAUUAAUAUAUUGAGUUUACUUUUCUAUAUGAGUAAACUAUCAAAUACCCCUGAAAUUUUAAAAUUCGUCAAAUACCCCCUGAAAUUUGAAAAUAGGCAAAUGCUCUCAUGAAAUUUUAAAAAACCACUCAAAUUGCCCCCUGACUGGACUCUGACUGGUAGUGACGGGGGGUAAUUUGAUUGACUUUUAAAAAUUUCAGGAGGUAUUUGCCUAUUUCCAAAUUUCAUGAGGAUAUGUGACGAAUUUUAAAAUUUCAUGUUUACUCUUUCUAUCUUUGUAUAUUUCAUGUGCUAACUAACAAAUGCUUACGUAACAAAAUACUAAAAUAGUUUAAAUUUAGGCAUACACAAGGCAAAACAAAUGACCUAUAAAAUACAAACAUAAGUUAAUUAACACACUUAAUAUAUGGAGAUGAAAAUCUGGAGAAUUGAUUAAUUAAAUGUCAUUAACCAAAAUUUCCUAAAAAUAAGAUAACAGAGAUAUCUGAUGAUUUAAAAAACAAAGAGAGGGAUAUAAAAACGGUACUUGAGUGCCAUAUCCAACAGUUUUCCAUAAGAGCAAGAAACUCAAAGUUUAAAAUUAGAAAAUAAAAUAUAAAAAACAGAGUUAGAAAGGGAAUAAAGAAAACAGGGGAGAAAGAAUUCCAAGUGAGUAGUGUUUAUGAAAAUAAAUGUGCAUUGUUUGAUUAAACUUAAACUAUGAAUUGUCGCAUGCAAAUUUAUUUACAUUGUUCAAACUUCGAAUGAGUUAUUUUUCAAUAUGGUUUUAUGCUCCAUCUUUUCUCCUUUGUUAUUGUCAUUGGUAUUAAUAUUACUUAAUAUANNNNNNNNNNNNNNNNNNNNNNNNNNNNNNNNNNNNNNNNNNNNNNNNNNNNNNNNNNNNNNNNNNNNNNNNNNNNNNNNNUGGGCCCAGGCAUUAUUCCCAUUUUGUGUGAGUCUAAAUUCAUAUCUGAUUGGCUCUAAUAUAAUCGAGAAAGAUUAUUGUAGAAAGGAAAAGAAAAACUUCAUUUGAAUUUACUGUUUUACAUUUUUUUUAUAAUAAAAGGAUUUCAAAAAAUUCACUAUGUGACUAAAAAUAUACUAAAUAAAAAUAUUAUGAUAACUAAAUUAAUUAAAAAUAUCUUUAAAAUCAAGUUAUUGUUUACCAACCCAAUCCAAUAUAUUUGGUUUCUGAAUAAUGGCCAUUUGGAUCUCUCAAUCACUUUGUUUUUUCUGAAAUGGAAAUAUGGAAUCACACCAAACUAGUAACCGAUCUGGUUGACAGGUUAAUCUAAUUAUAGGCAUUUUAUGUUUCAAGCAACUUCAUAUGCAAUUUUUAAUGUUACAUUACAUACUCAAACAAGUUAUUCUCCAUUCUCACAAGUGAUUGAAUGUAGGUGAAUUUACAAUUUUUGAAUGUAGAGAAUCUAAAUUCGAUAUAGAUUCCUUCGGCCAAAACUCAAAAGUGACGACAGGGUUAAUCUUGACCAUUCAAAUAAUUGAUUCUGAACCUUUUAUUUUUAUUUUACUAUAAGUAUAGUUUUUGUUGAAAGCGGGAAGAUUUGGAUCCUCUCCGGUUUUUUUAUAGGGAGCUUCUACGGUACAUUCGAAUAAUUUGAAUGUAUCGGUACAUCAAGUCAGUAAAUUGAUAAAUUAACGAUUAUUUUUAUGAAUUAAAAAACUAUUAACCGAUUAUUAUAUUUUAAAAAUAAUAAUAUCACAAGAAAAAACACGAUAUAUUGUUUAUAAGCAUGAUACUAAUUUUUCUAAUAUUUUCUUAGAAAAAAAAUUCAAUAUUGACUAUAAUGAUGAAUAAAAAUUCAAAAAAUAUCAAAUUUAAUAUUUUUGCCAAUUUUGAUGAAUAAUAUUUAGUUACUAUAAUCAUUUUAAUGAUAAGAAAAAUGAUUUCCUUUAAAAAAUAUUCAUUUACAUAUUAAUUUAAUUACCUGAUGUACCGGUACAUUAAGAAUUAUCACAUGUACCAUAGAAUUUGCCUUUUUUAUAUUUAGUCCUCGCUCAUUUUUUUUUUCUAAUCCAAUGGUUAAUUGAACCACAAAAUUAAAAAAACAAAACAAAGAAAAAGAAGACAGAAUAAUGUCUUUAGCAUAAUUCAUAUUAACUUUACUAUGUCUUUAUAGUUUUUAGCUCAGGCUUUUCUAUCAUAUGCAGCAAACUGCAUGAGCUUCCAUUGAAUUAUAUACUUGAAUAAAGAUGGAUGUGAAAAACUCUCUCCAAUUAACGACUACUUCCGGUGCCUAUGAUGAUGAUGGACGUCCGAAAAGAACCGGUGAAGUUCUCUACAGCAUAUAACCAUUGAAUUAUAUACAAGAAUUUGAACAUUGAAGUUUUUUUUAUUCUGCAGGAAAUUUACAGAGUGCCGUGGCUCAUAUCAUAACCGCGGUUAUAGGUUCCGGUGUUUUGUCUUUGGCGUGGAGUAUUUCUCAAUUAGGAUGGAUUGGAGGGCCAAUUGCCUUGCUUUGUUGUGCAAUAGCUACAUAUGUUUCUUCAUGUCUUUUGGCUGAUUGUUACAGAAAUCCUGACUCUAUAACUGGGAAAAGAAACUACUCUUUUAUGGAUGCUGUUAGAGUAAAUCUUGGUAAGAACACAUUAAACUCUUCACUAUUUGCAAUCACUAUGCUAACACAGAUAUGCUUUUCAUGAACUACCAACAAAUUAUAACUUCAAAAUGAGUUUAAUGCUUGUUCAGGUGAGAAAAGGACAUAUGCAGUUGGUUUCCUUCAAAUUAUGAGCUUGUAUGUGACCAGUACUGCCUAUGUAAUUACAGCGGCAACAAGUAUGAGGUAAUUCUCCUGUUGGACCACUCAUCAAAUGCUGGUGGGAACAAUUUUUGGUGUGGCUUUAUUUACUUUGCGGCCAAACUCUGGAUUACCGGGGACCCUUUCCCCUGGAAACCAGAGGGUUAAUACCAAAAAAAAAGAAUUAUAUGUUAUUUUUUUGCCAACAAGAUAAUGACACAUGUUUAUGCUACUAAUUAAUACAGGGCUAUUAUGAGAUCGAAUUGUUAUCACGAGGAAGGGCAUGAUGCACCUUGUAAAUAUGGGGGUAAUGUGUAUAUGAUGUUGUUUGGACUAGUUCAGGUUGUAAUGUCAUUCAUACCAGAUCUCCAUAGCAUGGUAUGGGUUUCUAUUGUUGCUACAAUAAUGUCCUUUGCAUACUCGUCAAUUGGACUUGGACUUGGCUUAGCGACAAUCAUAAGUAAGCCUCAUCUUCACUCAAUUUCUAUCAAUUAAAGAUUUAUGAAAAAUAUUAUUAUCCUAAAAUCCAUAUCUUGCUACUAUAUUGAUGCAGAAAAUGGACGAUUUAUGGGAAGUAUGACAGGAGUACAGACUGCAAAUGUUGCCGACAAAAUCUGGUUAAUCUUCCAGGCACUUGGUGACAUUAGCUUUUCCUAUCCAUACUCAAUGCUUUUUCUUGAGAUACAGGUAACAAAACAUUUCAUAUUCAAAAUGAAUAAGUAAGUAAAGGGUGAUUGAUAUAAAGCAGAAAGAAAAAAGACUAUAUCUGAAACAAAUUAUUGAAUUUUGUUGAUUAAAGGACACUCUAGAGUCUCCUCCAGCAGAGAAUAAAACGAUGAAAAAGGCCUCCAUGAUUUCAAUCUUCAUUACAACAUUCUUCUACCUAUGUUGCGGAGGCUUUGGAUAUGCAGCUUUUGGAGAUGCUACACCAGGAAAUCUCUUGACAGGGUUUGGGUUUUACGAGCCUUUCUGGCUUAUCGACUUUGCCAAUGUUUGCAUUAUCAUUCAUUUGGUUGGAGGAUAUCAGGUAAAUAAUGUAAAUAAAGAUUCUUUUUUCAGGUUCAUUGAAUAAUUUGUGUAUCUGGUCUAUAUCACUGACCAUAUAUAUAUAUAUCAGUCAUUCAAUGAACCUGAAAAAGAAAUUUUUGCUUAUAUACGAUACCAGAAGGAGUAUAAAAAAAUUAUAUUCACUGUUUUCUCAUUUGUAUGAUCUUGUGAACAGAUAUACAGUCAACCAAUAUAUAGUACUAUUGAUAGAUGGUGUUCAAGAAAAUUCCCUAAGAGUACCUUUGUGAAUGAUUUUCACAAAGUGAAACUUCCUCUAUUACCUGCUUUUAAGAUAAAUCUAUUCAG
rnacentral:lncRNA from 1 species